GUUUUUAGAUUCCUGGUUAAUGUGUCUUAGGGCGUCUGCUUUGUUUUGAAGCCGACCAGCUGCAGUUCAUAGACGUUUCAGCCCAUAAUUGGCUGGUUCCGAGGCUGCCGUGGCAAACAAGCAUCGCAGAGGAGAAACAACUAGGCGCACCCAACGCACCAAAGGCAGGACUUUACUGGGGAAGGAGCUGCUGAGCUGCCUCGAACAAUGCAGGACAACAUAGCUGAUUUGAAUAUGGAGCAAGCAGUCUGUAGCAGGCAGAAUCAUGAAUAAUAUUAACAGACUGAGAAGAUUACGUGUGCAAUAGGCUACCAAACUCCAACUGUUUAUACAAAUGGAACCAAAGACAAAUGUGCAAGACUUCUUUUACCAGGAUCCACCAGAUUCACCUUGAAAAAAGUUCAUAACUGCUAAACUACAAUACGACUUCUUUGUUGGAUUCUGAAGGCCCCUUAUUCUCUUUGUGGCAGGCUAUUACUAGUUCCUCCUAGUAGAAAUACUUGUUGGCUAUAUUUAUAUCAACCCUGGUAUCCUUAUUAUUUAGCCCAUGUAUUCUUAACUGUUUCUUUGGUUUUGUCUCCCCCAGAUUUAAAGCUAUAAGACUACCCAUGACAACAAAGCCUGGUGCCUAUCAAGGGCCUUUAGAUAGACCUUCUAUAGAGUAACUCUCACUGCCGAUCAAACCUAUAAUGCUCUUCAGCCUUAAGUAGUCAGAAUGGUCUUUGCCCCUUGCCCACUCACAGCAGUUAAGAAUACUUCUUCAGAGAGAGGAAUAUUGU
rnacentral:lncRNA from 1 species